AGCGAACGCUGGCGGCAGGCUUAACACAUGCAAGUCGAGCGCCCCGCAAGGGGAGCGGCAGACGGGAGAGUACCACGUGGGAACAUACCUUUUGGUUCGGAACAACUGAGGGAAACUUCAGCUAAUACCGGAUAAGCCCUUACGGGGAAAGAUUUAUCGCCGAAAGAUUGGCCCGCGUCUGAUUAGCUAGUUGGUGAGGUAACGGCUCACCAAGGCGACGAUCAGUAGCUGGUCUGAGAGGAUGAUCAGCCUCACUGGGACUGAGACACGGCCCAGACUCCUACGGGAGGCAGCAGUGGGGAAUAUUGGACAAUGGGGGCAACCCUGAUCCAGCCAUGCCGCGUGAGUGAUGAAGGCCUUAGGGUUGUAAAGCUCUUUUGCCCGGGAAGAUAAUGACGGUACCGGGAGAAUAAGCCCCGGCUAACUUCGUG
rnacentral:rRNA from 1 species